rnacentral:rRNA from 1 species
CUAAACUGAGGGAGGUACGUCGAAACUGACCGGCUAGAGGGACGUAGAGGUAAGCGGAACUCUCGGAGUAGCGGUGAAAUGCGUAGAGACCGAGAGGUACCCCGAUGGUGAAGACAGCUUACUGGGCGUCUCCUGACGCUGAAGCGCUAAGGCCAGGGGAGCGAAGGGGAUUAGAUACCCCCGUAGUCCUGGCUUCAAACGAUGUGGGCUUGGUGUCGGCCCCCUAUAGAGGGUCGUUGCCGGAGUUAACGCGUUAAGCCCACCGCCUGGGGAUUACGUCCGCAAGGAUGAAACUCAAGGGAAUUGACGGGGGCCCACACAACCGGUGGAGCACGUGGUUUAAUUCGAUGAUAAGCGAAGAACCUUACCAGGGCUUGACCUAGCGGUAGUAGAACCCCGAAAGGGGAACGACCCCAAGCUUUGCUUGAGGAGCC